UACGGAGGGUGCAAGCGUUGUUCGGAAUCACUGGGCGUAAAGGGCGUGUAGGCGGUCCGCUAAGUUUGAUGUGAAAGCCCGAGGCUUACCCUCGGAAGUGCAUUGGAGACUGGCGGACUGGAGUCCCGGAGAGGAGGGUGGAAUUCCUGGUGUAGCGGUGAAAUGCGUAGAUAUCAGGAGGAACACCGGUGGCGAAGGCGGCCCUCUGGACGGUGACUGACGCUGAGACGCGAAAGCGUGGGGAGCAAACAGG
rnacentral:rRNA from 1 species